UCCAGAGAUCUGCACUGCUCUGUGCAGUACAGAUUGUGUGGGCACACAGCAGCAUGCUGAAGAGGACCUGCAAGGAUCAUCUGGUGGGAAGGAUUUUAAAAGAUGCUAAUCUCCCGCAUGGCAGUGAUUCAAAGCAUCAAGCUGGCUUCCAGCAGAUUAUCAGCAAGACAGAAAGACACUGCAAAAUUUGGAAAAUUAAAUGAAAAAGCUAUGGAUAAACACAUUCAUUUAAAGAAGAAGACCUGACAUUUAAUAUUUAAAGAGGUAGAUGAGCUAAUGUACGAGAUAUUUUUGUAUGUCAAACUGUUGCAGUUAAUUCAUAAUAUUACCGAUGAACCUGUC